rnacentral:sRNA from 1 species
CUUAUCAUAUAGCUUAGAUUAAUUAAUAACUGUAGUGAUUAAUUAGUGCAGUAGUGAGUAGACUAGUUGCAUUAAGUGUUGCUUAAAAGUAUCUAGAGUGUCGGUUGAAAACAAUAGCGCAAUUUAAGUAUUCAUUCUAGUGCCGAUUUAUUUUCAGCUUUAAAUUCAUCAGUUUGCAGUUUGUUUUUGUCAGAUUUUGAAUUGUUGAUAUGGCAGAAGGAGGUGAAAACCUAACAGGUGUUGAUCGAGAAGCGGGAGCGAAACCAAAGAAGGGGCGUGGCCGAGGAUUGUCAAAAACAAAUACAUCUUUGGUAGACCCAGAAAUCAGAAAGAUUGAACAGGAGGAACUAUGCAGCAGUAAGGCCAGCGAAAAGUCGACAGCUCAUCAGAACCUUGGUACAGCAAGAGUAGAGAAAGAGUCUACAACUAACGAGGAGUUACUCAAGACACUACAAAGUAUUGAAAAAAGGUUAGAGAAAGUAGAACUAAUGCAUAAUCAAAGUAAUGAAUUAUCUCCUCCAAACACUCAGUUUUAUGGCAGAGGACGAGCAUUUCGGAGGGGGCAUUCGUACAACAGAGGAAACAACAGAGAUUCCUCUGUAGAGUCAGUGUUAACAGAACAGUCUGAAAAUGGGCAACAAGGAGUGAUAGUUUGUCCAGGGCUAUUAUCCAUGAAGAAUGCAGGUAGAAACAAAAGGGUCAACGUUAAGGUAUGUAACAUAUCGGCAAGUGUUAUCAAGAUUCUGCCGAAAACAAAUUUGUGUCAGGUAAGUCAGGUUAGAGUAAUGGAUACUUGGAAUCCGGAAACACCGACUACUGACAAGACGAAAGAUCACAAACCAUUAACAGAUUUAGGAGUGAAGUUCGCCCCAGCAUCACACGUGCUCAGUACGGCCGCCGCCAUAUUUCCCAAAACCGCAAAGAGUAUCCACAUAUGCGCAUACCCUUGUUGGUCUAACUAUCAAAUUGCUACAGGCCUCGUUAAGAAGGAAAUGCCUGUCCGGCUAGCAACCUUACUGACAGUGAUGGGUGAAACACACAGCAACCAAGCCCAAGUCAAUUACGCAGCUAGAGGAGGACAUAAGAAGCACAUAAAAGAUGUCGAUUCCAUAAAAGAUGUAAAGCACAAACAGAAAAAGUUUACAGCACAGCCACCAAAAUAUCCAAAGAAGGCAGAUUUCAGAUGCAAAUACUGUGGUGGAAAACAUGAGCGAGGAAGAGAGAAGUGUCCGGCAUACAAACAGGUUUGCGGCAAGUGCAACAAGAAAAAUCACUUUGCAUCAGUGUGUCUGAGUUCUAACUCAACUGUUCUUCAGCUUGAUGAUGAAACUGAUGACAGUUGUGACAGUAGUGAUUGCGAAGCGUGUUAUACUGUGAAGACGACACAUGGAAAGCAGUGGUUCACAAAAGUCAACAUGGCAAUUGAUGAUGCAACUCGUCAAGAUGUGAUCUGUCAGCUAGACUCAGGAUCAACAUGCAACAUCCUUGGAUUUCGGCAGUACUGCAUUCUUACUCAGAAUGGUUGUCCGCCAUUGAAACCAACAGCCAAAGCUCUACGUCUAUAUGGUGGAAAGUCAAAGCUCGAACCCCUAGGAACUGUUGACAUCACCUGCUCAGUACAAAACAAUACCGAAUGUCUGAACUUUUACAUAGUUGAUACAGAUCAGACUGCAUUACUUUCGGCUGAAGCAUAUACCCUGUCGCGCGCUACUCCAGAGUAUCAUGGAAAGCACCCUUCUAAACUUGCUGAGGAAAUUGCACAAAUCCAACAUGCAGAGUGGGUUAGAAAGAUUACUGACUCGCGUCUUAACCAAAUCAGAGACUUGACAAACAAGGACGACAAUCUCCAGUCAUUGAAAACAGUGAUUCUAUCUGGAUGGCCUGAUACUAAAGACGACGUACCUAUAGCAAUACGGCCAUACUGGAACGUCAAAGACACCCUUACAGUACAAGAUGGUAUCAUCUACCACAGUAGCCGUGUUGUCAUUCCGAAAGCCCUUCGUCCAGAAAUGCUUCGACGUACACACUCAAGCCACUUAGGAAUCGAAGCUUCCCUACAUGACCUUUGGAAGAGCAUCCUUGAUUGGAGGAACACCCCAACGGUUGACAUGGCCAGCAGUCCGUCACAACGUCUGAUGUCACGAAGAACUCGUCAUUCAUUACCAAUGUCACAGGAGUUACUCCAACCAAAACUCGUGGAUGAUGUUACAGACAAGGUGAAGUUCAAGAGACAAAAGGCAAAGUUCUACUAUGAUAGAACCACUAAGGAACUUCCAGAACUGGAAAUAGGACAACCGGUCAGAAUGAGAGCAACCACUGACCCAGAGAAGAAAUGGAGUUAUGGAACUUGCGUGGACAACGUCGGAAAGCGAUCGUACUUAGUUGAGGUCAACAAUCGACAAUAUCGCAGAAACCGCAAGGAUCUUCGCGCUACAAAGGAACCUCAGAAUGCCAAUACGCAGCCACUCCCAGAAUAUGAUGUUUUGGUAGAUCCACCCCCAGACAUGUCCGACAGUUCGAAUCCGAAAGACCAACACGUGAAAGAUCUGUCUCCGCAAAAGCCUAGUGAUCCACAUUCAAGCCUCCGUACAAGUUCGCGGGACCACAAACUUCCAAGGAAAUUUGCUGACUAUGUCAUGUGAACAUUUGUUGCAAAAUGUUUAUGCAUUGUUUCGAACGUAUGUUGUACAUUGAUAAUUUUUUUUCUUCCUUCAUUUCUAAGCUCAGAAAUACUCAUGCUUGAAUUAUACUCGUGUUAUGUCAAAACAGUAUUAUCAUUUUAUUAAUGUUUGUGUGUUAACUUGGUUAUCAUUCAAUUGAUUCAACUUUAAAGGAAGGGAGAUGUUAGGAUG